UGCCAGCCGCCGCGGUAAUACGGAGGGAGCUAGCGUUGUUCGAAAUUACUGGGCGUAAAGGGCGCGUAGGCGGUAUAAUUAGUCAGAGGUGAAAUCCCUAAGCUUAACUUAGGAACUGCCUUUGAUACUGUUAUACUAGAGAUCGAGAGAGGUGAGUGGAAUUCCAAGUGUAGAGGUGAAAUUCGUAGAUAUUUGGAAGAACACCAGUGGCGAAAGCGGCUCACUGGCUCGUUUCUGACGCUGAGGCGCGAAAGCGUGGGUAGCAAACAGGAUUAGAUA
rnacentral:rRNA from 1 species